AAUUUUUCCUAGCUUCACGGAAAAAGAAAUAGUACAAACUGUUCACAGACUUAGGCAAUACUUGAUGUUAGUUUUUAUUUUUGAUAAAGGUGUUGUUGCUGCUAAAAUGAAAGAAAGAAAAAAAAGAGGCUUUAGUUCUAGUAAUCUUUCGCACGCUACGGGAGUGGUACCUUUGUCCAGUGUGAUUUUUUUCUUUUUGAAGUGUGAUAUUUGAUUCGGGAACAAAUUAGUAAUUUAAACAGACUGGAACUACUUAUUUUGUUUAUUUUUCUACUAUUUUGAAACAACUGUCGGAAACUCUUGGGUUUGGAGAUGGGAGGAAAUACAACAUAGUGAAGUGGUCCCACAACCUAGGUACUAUUUCUAAAAAUUCUGAUUCUGAUUAGCCUAAGGUUAGGAUGAAGGGUCCAUGGAAAUGAAGCAUCCAUCCACCAUCCUGCAGCCAGGUUUUAGGGACAUGGAUCUGGCAUGUACAGACCACUUUCAAAACAGAUGCGUGUUGACCUGUGCUCCACUUACUCCUUAUGAGAAAAACAUUUAUGACAGGCUUUUUAGGAGAUUACAUUGGUUACCAACACGUAAGAAGUGGUUACCCCACCACUCAUCUAACAACUGCCAAUUAACCAUUUUAUUACCAAGUCUCAACAACAGUGUUUAGCCUGCACUUGGAAUAAUUUAUAUAAAAUGUUCUGAUGCAUAUAUAACGUUUUGAUUUACCUUGUUAAGUCUUUCACUGAA